CAGUAGCCGCGGGAAUACAGAGGGUGCGAGCGUUAAUCGGAUUUACUGGGCGUAAAGCGUGCGUAGGCGGCUUCUUAAGUCGGAUGUGAAAUCCCUGAGCUUAACUUAGGAAUUGCAUUCGAUACUGGGAAGCUAGAGUAUGGGAGAGGAUGGUAGAAUUCCAGGUGUAGCGGUGAAAUGCGUAGAGAUCUGGAGGAAUACCGAUGGCGAAGGCAGCCAUCUGGCCUAAUACUGACGCUGAGGUACGAAAGCAUGGGGAGCAAACAGGAUUAGAUACCCCGGUAGUUUCUGUCUCUUAUAA
rnacentral:rRNA from 1 species